UAGCAUUACAUAAAUAAAUAAAAGUAGUAUUAAAUAAAAGUAGUAUUAAAUAUCAUUAUAUAAAUAUGAUACAGCAUGUUCUUUGGUUUUUAAUGUUGUUGGAAGCAGAAUUCAGCAGUUUGUAAAAGUACUAUUAAAUUUCAUAAUAUAAUAAAUAUUUAAGUUCAUGUUUUUAGGUUUUUAGUGUUGUUGUGAGCAGAACACAGCAACAGUUAUAGUCUGGUACUGGUUUCACAAGGAUCCAGAAGCACAGUCUAACACUGUGUUCAUGGUCCAUUGUCUCAACCACCAAGUACUCA